rnacentral:rRNA from 1 species
GAUGAACGCUGGCGGCGUGCCUAAUACAUGCAAGUCGAGCGAACGGACGAGAAGCUUGCUUCUCUGAUGUUAGCGGCGGACGGGUGAGUAACACGUGGAUAACCUACCUAUAAGACUGGGAUAACUUCGGGAAACCGUAGCUAAUACCGGAUAAUAUUUUGAACCGCAUGGUUCAAAAGUGAAAGACGGUCUUGCUGUCACUUAUAGAUGGAUCCGCGCUGCAUUAGCUAGUUGGUAAGGUAACGGCUUACCAAGGCAACGAUGCAUAGCCGACCUGAGAGGAUGAUCGGCCACACUGGAACUGAGACACGGUCCAGACUCCUACGGGAGGCAGCAGUAGGGAAUCUUCCGCAAUGGGCGAAAGCCUGACGGAGCAACGCCGCGUGAGUGAUGAAGGGCUUCGGAUCGUAAAACUCUGUUAUUAGGGAAGAACAUAUGUGUAAGUAACUGUGCACAUCUUGACGGUACCGAAGCAGAAAGCCACGGCUAACUACGG